GCACUGCUGAGGAGUCUCAUAAUGAGACGGAACGGCCGUCCAGUGC
rfam:Schistosoma mansoni strain Puerto Rico chromosome 1, complete genome